UUAAAUUUGUGGAAGAAAAUAAAAUAAAAAAAGAAUUCAAUAGACGUCGAAGUCCACGCUAGGUGCCGUUUAAAUCGUUAAAAAUACCACGCCGAAAAUGCGAGAUACUACAAGAAGUCGAUCUGCUUUUCUUCGGUUCCCGAUCCUCUUUGGAUCCAUUCUGGGAAUAUUUUACAUGGGAUUCCAAUAUCGGAAAACAUUCAUGACAGAUAUACCAGAAAAAGUAAAGGAAAUGAAUAAAGCAGAGUCAGAUAACAGAGGAUUAAUCAAGAGCUCAAUCGGACAAAUUAAUCAAGAGAGAGGCAACAAGAACGAAAAAUAAAAAAAUUCAUUUAUAGUUCUUUGAUGUUAAAGAGGGAAAGCAUUAAAUAUGGUAAACAAUA